ACAACCAGUUGCUCAUAACCAUGAAGAUUGUCGUGGUCCUCUCAGUUCUCCUCUGUUCUGCAUUUGCAGCUCCAGCUGAACACAAAGAGAAGGCUCCAGAAGCAGCGGUGGCUGCCCUGAUGGAGCAGAUGGUUCCUGCACCUGAGAUGGAGGCCGAGAUGAAGAAAGUUGAGGAAGAGUCUGUUCCAGAGGAUUCUGCCCCUGUUCCCAGAGACG